AUUGAACGCUGGCGGCAUGCCUUACACAUGCAAGUCGAACGGCAGCACGGAGCUUGCUCUGGUGGCGAGUGGCGAACGGGUGAGUAAUAUAUCGGAACGUACCCUAGAGUGGGGGAUAACGUAGCGAAAGUUACGCUAAUACCGCAUACGAUCUAAGGAUGAAAGUGGGGGAUCGCAAGACCUCAUGCUCGUGGAGCGGCCGAUAUCUGAUUAGCUAGUUGGUAGGGUAAAAGCCUACCAAGGCAUCGAUCAGUAGCUGGUCUGAGAGGACGACCAGCCACACUGGAACUGAGACACGGUCCAGACUCCUACGGGAGGCAGCAGUGGGGAAUUUUGGACAAUGGGCGAAAGCCUGAUCCAGCAAUGCCGCGUGAGUGAAGAAGGCCUUCGGGUUGUAAAGCUCUUUUGUCAGGGAAGAAACGGUGAGAGCUAAUAUCUCUUGCUAAUGACGGUACCUGAAGAAUAAGCACCGGCUAACUACGUGCCAGCAGCCGCGGUAAUACGUAGGGUGCAAGCGUUAAUCGGAAUUACUGGGCGUAAAGCGUGCGCAGGCGGUUUUGUAAGUCUGAUGUGAAAUCCCCGGGCUCAACCUGGGAAUUGCAUUGGAGACUGCAAGGCUAGAAUCUGGCAGAGGGGGGUAGAAUUCCACGUGUAGCAGUGAAAUGCGUAGAUAUGUGGAGGAACACCGAUGGCGAAGGCAGCCCCCUGGGUCAAGAUUGACGCUCAUGCACGAAAGCGUGGGGAGCAAACAGGAUUAGAUACCCUGGUAGUCCACGCCCUAAACGAUGCCUACUAGUUGUCGGGUCUUAAUUGACUUGGUAACGCAGCUAACGCGUGAAGUAGACCGCCUGGGGAGUACGGUCGCAAGAUUAAAACUCAAAGGAAUUGACGGGGACCCGCACAAGCGGUGGAUGAUGUGGAUUAAUUCGAUGCAACGCGAAAAACCUUACCUACCCUUGACAUGGCUGGAAUCCUUGAGAGAUCAGGGAGUGCUCGAAAGAGAACCAGUACACAGGUGCUGCAUGGCUGUCGUCAGCUCGUGUCGUGAGAUGUUGGGUUAAGUCCCGCAACGAGCGCAACCCUUGUCAUUAGUUGCUACGAAAGGGCACUCUAAUGAGACUGCCGGUGACAAACCGGAGGAAGGUGGGGAUGACGUCAAGUCCUCAUGGCCCUUAUGGGUAGGGCUUCACACGUCAUACAAUGGUACAUACAGAGCGCCGCCAACCCGCGAGGGGGAGCUAAUCGCAGAAAGUGUAUCGUAGUCCGGAUUGUAGUCUGCAACUCGACUGCAUGAAGUUGGAAUCGCUAGUAAUCGCGGAUCAGCAUGUCGCGGUGAAUACGUUCCCGGGUCU
rnacentral:rRNA from 1 species